GAAUGCUGACAUAAGUAACGAUAAAGCGGGUGAAAAGCCCGCUCGCCGGAAGACCAAGGGUUCCUGUCCAACGUUAAUCGGGGCAGGGUGAGUCGACCCCUAAGGCGAGGCCGAAAGGCGUAGUCGAUGGGAAACAGGUUAAUAUUCCUGUACUUGGUGUUACUGCGAAGGGGGGACGGAGAAGGCUAUGUCGGCCGGGCGACGGUUGUCCCGGUUUAAGCGUGUAGGUGUGUGCUCCAGGCAAAUCCGGUGCACUUUAACACUGAGGCGUGAUGACGAGGCACUACGGUGCUGAAGUGACAAAUGCCCUGCUUCCAGGAAAAGCCUCUAAGCAUCAGGUAACACGAAAUCGUACCCCAAACCGACACAGGUGGUCAGGUAGAGAAUACCAAGGCGCUUGAGAGAACUCGGGUGAAGGAACUAGGCAAAAUGGUGCCGUAACUUCGGGAGAAGGCAC
rnacentral:rRNA from 1 species